GCCCGCUCACGUGGCGAUUUGCCCAACCGGCUUGCGGCCACGUUAAAAAAACCCGCUAAAAGGUUGGAGCUGGCAAAGC
rnacentral:ncRNA from 2 species